GGUUUUAGUUUAAAACCCUGCUUGCAUCGAUAUAAUGAUCGACCUUUAUGCUCGAAUCCAGUGCUCAAAUCGAUCGACCUUGCCACCACUCCGCCACCAGCAGCAGGUCACUGCCUCCACCAGCGCUCAAACGAUAAACACAAUAACGAUGUUUGAUUUGCAGGUGAAGCCGGAAUCGGGUCAAUCUAUGAAGACGCUUUGAUUGAGAAAGAUCUGAAAUCUGGAGAUUUGUACAGAAUCCAAGCUGGUUCAGCAUUCUAUAUCGUAAAUACUGUAGAGGGUCAAAGACUCCAUAUCAUCACUAGCAUCGAUACCUCUGAGAGCUCUGAUUGGAGUGCUUUUCAGGUACCGAAGGAGGAAGACGAGGCACAGGUUCAAAGACCCCAUAUCAUCACUAGCAUCAACAGUUGUGGUGUUGAUCCAAGGAGGAAGACGAGGAAAGAAAGAUCAAGGAAGGAGAAGAAGUUGAUUGUGGGAUCGGCUACAGUAGAACCACCUUGGCAAGUGAUUGCAUAAAUAUUGAAUAUUUUCCAUCUGGUUGUUGAAGAUCAAAAGAAUUAGUGACUCAAAACUAGCGAUUGAAUCAUCUUUAACUCAAGAAAUUGGGGAAAAUAAGAAACCCCUAUCGGAUUGCCCUUCGCUCGAAUCAUCUUUGACCCAGCUACUUCUAGAUGGAGUGGGAUCAUAAACAUGUGAAGGAUGCACUGCCCCUAAUAUUACCGGGUAAUGAUUUAUACUUUAAAAAGCAUAGGAUGUUUCUUAGAAUGCAUGAAAGGCUAUAUGUAUCUUGUAUAGGACUGGGUUUAGUUAAAGAAUAUACAUUUGUUUUAAAACAUGAUAGGUGAUAUUUGUUUUGACUUGUACAAACAUUAAUUAUUUGGGAAAGGAUGAAAGUGAACGCCAUAGCUCACAUAGAUCCAAUAAAGCUUGUAGUUUUAAGAUAAUCUAACAGUGUAUCUUCUAUUAUGAUUUUGGACAUAAUCGAAUGUUGUGCAAGACUAUCCAUUGUGUGGGUUCCUAGAAAAACAUAUUGAAAUAGAUGGAUUUGAUUUUUUAUUUUAACUUGUUCAAUUUGAAAAUGUUUGCAGGCUAUGAGAAAACGAGAUUUAUGAGGUAUUUCCAAUUUGUUUUACUUGCUAAAUGCAAGUUGAAAGCUAGGGAUUUGAUUUUUUUUAUUUCUUUUUCACAUAAUUAUCAGGUUAAGUAAAACUUAUGAGGUAAUUCCAACAGAAUGCAUAUGGUAAUUGAAUCUUGAAUUCCAAUUCUUUUGGAAUGGAAUCACGAAUUCCAAUUCUUUUGGAAUGUAAUAUGGAUAUUUUCUCACUGAUUUAUGCAUGUUCUACAAUUCUUGGUUAUUGGUUUAGGUGCAAUUCACAAGUCCGCAUAUUUUUCCAUAAGGAAUAUAGUUUUUUAUUUUUCAUUUACUAAUACAUUAUUGGAUUCUAAACUACAAUUUGGUUUUGGUUUCACAGAAGUUGAUGUUUGAAGAACGGACCACAAAAUUGAAAGUGGUUCUAAGCAACAUUAUUCCUUUAGAAUGUAUUAGUGUCUUUGUUAGAUUUUGAUAUUUUCUUUCCCGAUUAGAAAGUUUUUUUAGUUUUAUUCUUUAACAAUAAAUGUAAUUCUUAGCAAUUGUUACCCGUACUCUAUAAGAAUUAAUGUAAUAUUUGUUUUUAUUCUUCAA